CGGAGCAACACUUGUGCGUGAAGUGGGUCAGGGGAGGAAUCCAGCAGCCCUAAGCGAUUUUCGGGUGUGUGCUCUUUUUUUGUG
rnacentral:SRP_RNA from 20 species